AGGACUGUAGCUUGGUGGUAGAGCAUCUGAUUUGAAUAUAGAAAGUCCUAUGUUCAAUCCCUAGUAUUCCUA